GGGGAAUCUUGCACAAUGGGGGAAACCCUGAUGCAGCGACGCCGCGUGAACGAUGAAGCCCUUCGGGGUGUAAAGUUCUUUCGACAGGAACGAUAAUGACGGUACCUGGAGAAGAAGCUGCGGCUAACUACGUGCCAGCAGCCGCGGUAAUACGUAGGCAGCGAGCGUUGUUCGGAGUUACUGGGCGUAAAGAGUGCGUAGGCGGCGAGACAAGUUUGGUGUGAAAUCUCCCGGCUUAACCGGGAGGGUGCGCCGAAAACUGGUUGGCUGGAGUAUGGGAGAGGAAAGCGGAAUUCCUGGUGUAGCGGUGAAAUGCGUAGAUAUCAGGAGGAACACCUGCGGUGUAGACAGCUUUCUGGACCAAAACUGACGCUGAGGCACGAAAGCGUGGGUAGCAAACA
rnacentral:rRNA from 1 species